UACAUAGGGUGCAAGCGUUGUCCGGAAUUAUUGGGCGUAAAGAGCUCGUAGGUCGUUUGUUACGUCGGAUGUGAAAACCUGAGGCUCAACCUCAGGCCUGCAUUCGAUACGGGCAAACUAGAGUUUGGUAGGGGAGACUGGAAUUUCCUGGUGUAGCGGUGGAAUGCGCAGAUAUCAGGAGGAACACCAAUGGCGAAGGCAGGUCUCUGGGCCAAUACUGACACUGAGGAGCGAAAGUCUGGGGGAGCGAACAGG
rnacentral:rRNA from 1 species